CAGUGACCAUAGCUUGUAGAUAAAUGGAAUGAGGGAUGGGAGGGAGGAAUUGGAAAUACUGUGUUAUAAGGAAUUUGUAUUACUUGUGAAGUGAUGUAGUGUUAUUUGAAAGUAGUCAUAAAUGUAUAUUGCUAACUCUAGGGUAACACACAAAAAAUUAGAGCAUAAUUUAUGUAAUUAAGAAAAAGAGAAAAAUAAAGUCAAAUAAAAUGGUCAAUUAAAAUCACAGAAGCCAGGAAAAAAAGAGUGGCAAACGAAAAAAGAAACCAAAAACAAAGGCAAUUAAUAGAAAAUUGUUUUUUAAAAAAAGUAACUAUUAAUCCUGAUAUUUCAAUAAUUACUUUUAGGAGUUCCCUGGUGCCCUAGAGGUUAAGGAUCUGGCAUUAUCGCUGCUGUGACACAGGUUCAGUCCCUGGCCUGGGAACUUCUACAUGCCGUAAGGAUGGCAAAAAAAAAAAAAAAAAAAAAAAUUAAUUAAAAAGGAAGAAGAAAGAGUUUUAGAAUCUGAUAAGGAUUUGAAUCCUGCUACUUAUAAUUUUCUUGGCAGAAAAUAAAGAUAAUAAUAUUUGCCUCCUAGAAUUCUUUGGAGUUUGAGUGAGCUAGCACAGGAAAAGCUCCAGAGAGAGCCUGACACAGUAGGCAUUCAGCAUUUCUGAACUCCUUGAGCUUUUCUCUCCUUUGUGGAUAUUAAUGCUUACGAGUUACUAAAUGUUGCAGGACAGAAUGGGGCAAGAAAUUGCCAGGAGUGGGGCAGAAUCAAAAGUACAGUUGAAGAUGCAGGAAAUGAUUUAACAAGGAGAUAAACCUUUAGCCUUGUAAAGAAGCCAAACUCCUAUUUCCUCUUAAUCUUCAAGUACAACAUCGAGGUUUACAACAAGAAGCAUCCUCUGUUCUUUGGAUGGUAGCAGUUCAAAUUCCACGUUCAGGACCUGAUCUUCAUUUCACUGACCCCCUUAACAGGCUCCAAUUUCACGAGCUCUAUAAAGUAUUUCAUUUUCAUGAAUAUUCUCAAAAGCAAAGUCCAUGUUACUUCGCUUCUCCAAACUUAAUUGAAAAGCAUUGCCUCCCAUAAUGCUUCCUUGCGGCUCUGUCCCCAGAUAUUUCUGAAACUAUAAGAUCUCAGAAUUGCCCAGAGCCACUGGUUUUCGUAUUUUGCCUGCUCUGAUGUUCUGCUGCCUAUGCUUGGUUUGUGGCUUGUCCUAGACUCUGAUUUUGCCUCUCAGAUUAGUUGUAAGGGUUUGAGAUUGGAGAUACAGAC
rnacentral:tRNA from 1 species